rnacentral:rRNA from 1 species
UACGGGGAGGGCAAGCGUUGUUCGGAAUUACUGGGCGUAAAGGGCUCGUAGGCGGCCAACUAAGUCAGACGUGAAAUCCCUCGGCUUAACCGGGGAACUGCGUCUGAUACUGGAUGGCUUGAGUUUGGGAGAGGGAUGCGGAAUUCCAGGUGUAGCGGUGAAAUGCGUAGAUAUCUGGAGGAACACCGGUGGCGAAGGCGGCAUCCUGGACCAACACUGACGCUGAGUGAGCGAAAGCCAGGGGAGCAAACGGG